GACGAACGCUGGCGGCGUGCCUAAUACAUGCAAGUAGAACGCUGAAGGAGGAGCUUGCUCUUCUGGAUGAGUUGCGAACGGGUGAGUAACGCGUAGGUAACCUGCCUGGUAGCGGGGGAUAACUAUUGGAAACGAUAGCUAAUACCGCAUAACAGUAGAUGUUGCAUGACAUUUGCUUAAAAGGUGCAAUUGCACCACUACCAGAUGGACCUGCGUUGUAUUAGCUAGUUGGUGGGGUAACGGCUCACCAAGGCGACGAUACAUAGCCGACCUGAGAGGGUGAUCGGCCACACUGGGACGGAGACACGGCCCAGACUCCUACGGGAGGCAGCAGUAGGGAAUCUUCGGCAAUGGACGGAAGUCUGACCGAGCAACGCCGCGUGAGUGAAGAAGGGUGUCGGAUCGUAAAGCUCUGUUGUAAGAGAAGAACGAGUGUGAGAGUGGAAAGUUCACACUGUGACGGUAGCUUACCAGAAAGGGACGGCUAACUACGUG
rnacentral:rRNA from 1 species